UGAUUGGAUGUGGCAAACAGUGUCCAUUCUGUGCAGUGCCUUGCGAUGCAGGAGGAAAAGCCCAUACUGAGCACUUUGCUUCACUGCAUCGGCCAAGGGGUCUGGGUAAAUACAGGUGGAGCUCAACGAAAAAACUUGUCACUGACAUAUGCUCUUCCGCUGUGAUCAGUGACGUAAAGUUUCGCUGCGAUGCUACAAACAAUGAACCGCACCCUUACAAACGUUACAAGGAAAUUUUUCCUGACUGGAAAAUUUGUCCAGAUGUGAGCUUCGAGGCAUCAAACUACUGGAAAUAUGUAAUGGCAACAUACAACGCUGACUUUGCCAAAGCAUAUGGUGCAGAACGUGCUGAUAUUCCUGCCACAUGGAAAACCAUCACAUACAAGCAGGCAGAAGACAGCCUCAAAGAGUCAUUUGGCACCAAGUAAUAGUCCUCCUCAGUAAAGGAGGGGCCCUUUAAUGGUCACAUUACUGUAUACAAGAGAAGAUGAAAGAUAUUGUGAGUUUACACACAUAUUUAACCACUUGCUUACAACAAGGUAAUGUAAGAAAAUGGCUGCAAGUUAAUUCUCAUUUGUACUCAUGUUUGCAUUUAAUGAACUCUACUAAUCUGCUUCAUGACUGUUUUGUGUUACAGUUCAUGUCAUUACAGUCAAGCUGAAGAAUGUAUCAAAGCAGCAGAGAAAACAAACAUUGCUUUUUUGUCUUGAUUACAUUAAAUAUGAUUUGAGAGCAUUUUUUGAUUAAUUGUGUUUGCAAAGUAUUUGAUGUCCAAUUGUUGCACUUGUGUUCCUCAUAGAUCUGGAUGUGGUAACGUUAUAAUAACAUGAUAAUACGUUACAUGUAUUAAUUAAAUCAUUUUGUGCUUGAUUCUGUGACAUAUCUGAUAUCAUGUAUUUACAUUUUGAAUGUAUCAAAAGAUCAUGAGGUUGUUUGUAUGAUCUAAAUACUUGCAUGAAUGUCAUUAUCAUGUUGAUAAGUUUUUCAA